GACAGCCAGGAUGUUGGCUUAGAAGCAGCCAUCAUUUAAAGAAAGCGUAAUAGCUCACUGGUCGAGUCGGCCUGCGCGGAAGAUGUAACGGGGCUAAACUGUGCACCGAAGCUGCGGCAGCGACACUAUGUGUUGUUGGGUAGGGGAGCGUUCUGUAAGCCUGCGAAGGUGGCCUGUGAGGGUUGCUGGAGGUAUCAGAAGUGCGAAUGCUGACAUAAGUAACGAUAAUGCGGGUGAAAAGCCCGCACGCCGGAAG
rnacentral:rRNA from 1 species